rnacentral:rRNA from 1 species
GACGAACGCUGGCGGCGCGCCUAACACAUGCAAGUCGAACGAGCGAGAGAGAGCUUGCUUUCUCGAGCGAGUGGCGAACGGGUGAGUAACCCGUGUGGAACCUGCCUCAAAUAGGGGGACAACAGUUGGAAACGACUGCUAUUACCGCAUAAGCCCUCGGUGCCGCCUGGCACCGAUGGAAAAGGAGCAAUACGCUUUGUGAUGGCCUCGCGUCCGAUUUGCUUGUUGGUGAGGUAAUGGCCCACCAAGGCGACGAUCGGUAGCCGGACCGCGAGGUUGAGAGGACACAAUGGGACUGAGACACGGCCCAGAAUGCGACGGGAGGCAGCAGUGGGGAAUAUUGCAAAAUGGGGGAAACCGUGAUGCAGCGACGCGGGGUGGAGGAAGAAGGUCUUCGGAUUGUAAACUCCGGCUGUUGGGGAAGAUAAUGACGGUACCCAACAAGGAAGUGACGGCUAACUACGUG